rnacentral:rRNA from 1 species
UACGGAGGAGGCAAGCGUUAUCCGGAAUUAUUGGGCGUAAAGCGUCCGUAGGUGGCUAGUCAAGUCUGCGGUCAAAGACUGGGGCUUAACCCUGGAAAGGCCGUGGAAACUGACGAGCUAGAGUGCAGUAGGGGUAGAGGGAAUUCCCGGUGUAGCGGUGAAAUGCGUAGAGCUCGGGAAGAACAUCGGUGGCGAAAGCGCUCUACUGGACUGCAACUGACACUCAGGGACGAAAGCUAGGGGAGCGAAUGGG